rnacentral:misc_RNA from 1 species
ACGAAAAAUUUUAAGAUUUAAGAAAACACAGAUAAAUUUACACAUUUUAAACUACUUGAAGACAUAUAUAUAUUUUUCUUUUUACACUGUACUUUAUUACUGUUGAGGUUGGCUGAUAGAAGAACGAGUGGAUGAAUUUGUAAUAGAAAAAUAUAUUGAAAUAAGUAAAGGUACAAGUAUAAUAAGUAUAAUGUAUAAAUUUAUGCUGAUCCGGAUCCUUAAUCUCUUAGUGUUACAAUACAAUAGAAUCGAUAGGCAGCACGUUCAUAUAUAUAUAUCAAAAGGACAUUACCAAAAAAGUUAACCUUGUAGCUCUAGCUAAGGGCUACAAGGAACAUAAAUAGGAAUCUAUUUAUUAGUUCUUUCGUUCUUAGACCUUGUAACUUGAAACAUAAUUUGUACUCAAGGGCACAAUAAUAUGGACCUCUCCUUAUUUAGAAUAUUUUUAUUUCACUAAAUUUUAUUUUCUGUGUAAUAGCGGUCUCUAGGUCGCGGAUAUACAUAAAUAGAGAUGUAAAGUUUUUCUUGAAGUAAUUACUUCAAAAAUUACAAAUAUUCAUUCUUGUAAAAAAUAAUUAUAGAUUUCAUAUUGGUCAAUAAAUUCUAUACAGGGCGAUCUCUCUUUCUAAUCCACAAUCAGUUUCUCAUUGAAUAACGCAUGUCAUGAGUUACAAAUUUUACUAUUAUAG